UACGUAGGGUGCGAGCGUUAAUCGGAAUUACUGGGCGUAAAGCGUGCGCAGGCGGUGAUGUAAGACAGAUGUGAAAUCCCCGGGCUCAACCUGGGACCUGCAUUUGUGACUGCAUCGCUAGAGUACGGCAGAGGGGGAUGGAAUUCCGCGUGUAGCAGUGAAAUGCGUAGAUAUGCGGAGGAACACCGAUGGCGAAGGCAAUCCCCUGGACCUGUACUGACGCUGAGGUGCGAAAGCGUGGGGAGCAAACAGG
rnacentral:rRNA from 1 species